UCACUGAUGAAGAGUCCCAAACUAGGACUAAACAGCUGUCCAGUAC
rfam:Trichobilharzia regenti genome assembly, scaffold: TRE_scaffold0039247